rnacentral:rRNA from 1 species
AUUGAACGCUGGCGGCAGGCUUAACACAUGCAAGUCGAGCGAGCGGCGGACGGGUGAGUAAUGUCUGGGAAACUGCCUGAUGGCGGGGGAUAACUACUGGAAACGGUAGCUACUACCGCAUACCAUCAGAUGUGCCCAGAUGGGAUUAGCUAGUAGGUGGGGUAAUGGCUCACCUAGGCGACGAUCCCUAGCUGGUCUGAGAGGAUGACCAGCCCCACGGGAAGUGAGACACGGGCCAGACUCCCACUGAAGGCAGCAGGGGGGAAUAUUGCCCAAUGGGCGCAAGCCGGAUGCCGCCAGUCCGCGUGUGUGAAUAAGGCCUUCGGGUUGUAAAGCACUUUCCGCGAGGAGGCGUUACUCGCAAGAAAAGCACCUGCUAACUCCGUGCCAGCAGACGCGGUAAUAC